GCAAAGUAGUUUAAUGAAUGAAAAGAUACUGGGUUGUGGUCCUAGAGAUGGUGUAGGUAGCCCUUUGCU
rnacentral:tRNA from 1 species